rnacentral:lncRNA from 1 species
UAUGACCGUGAUCUAUUGAAUAGGUAGAAUUUUAUUGAAGCUGGUGAAGUCUAUUCUAUCAAAAUUAAUAUAAAAAUUUAAAUGGUUGAAAUCUAACUAAAACAAAAUCUAAAAGUUCGAGAACUAAUUGUAUAAAAAAAGGGUAGGGAUCAAUAGUGCGAUUAAUGUAAUCUUUUUAAAUAUAAGAUACUCUAUUUUAAAAAUAAAUGUAUAACACCGACCGGCUUUAGCACAAGUCGCAAAGAGUUUGAUAUAUUUUUUCUUUUCGAGAAAAAAGAUAGCACACUGUACACUUUAUUCAUUUGGAAUAUAAAUCUAGCUACAAAAGGUGAGACAACGAACCUCAAUAAAGAAAAUAAAAAACAAAUAACAAUAAUAAUUUUAAAAAAAGCGAUUAAAACUACAAUAGCAAGAUACCGACACUACAAAAUUUCCUCCCCAAUAAAAAAUUUGAUAGUUGAUAUCCGAGAUUACUAAUUUCAAUACUAGCCGUUUUAUUUUUUCCAACUAAAUUUAUUUGCAAAAAAAGGAAAAAAAACUAUAGAAGCUGUCGGAUCGUUGGCACUGGUUAUUAAUCCCAAAAAGAUCAAGUUAUUAUAAAUAUGCAACUAAUUCACUUAAAGCGUACAGACACAGCGAGCCUACGGAUCUCGAUUAUGACUCGGCCGAAUCAACCUCACGCCACUUUAAAUAUGACUCGGUCUAAUUCAAUCUCACUCUAUUUUGAAUAUGACUCGAUCCAAUUUAACCUUCCGCCACGGAAUAAAAUACCGUCUAAUUAAAGCC